GGUGCAUCAUGGUGGGGUGAGGGAGGUGGUAGUAUUCGUCCCUCUCUUCCCAUAUAGUUACUAUUCUGAUCAUCAUUAGUAGUAGAAGAGGAGGUGAUAAUAAUCUGACCCUCCUCAUCAGCUGGUUUUGGAGUUGGUGGUGGUAGUAUUCUUUCCUCUCGUCCAAUAUAGUUACUAUUCAUAUGAACAUCUUGACAAUUAGAGGAAGUGACAAUUAUCUGACCCUGUUCAUCAGCUGGCUUUGGAGCUGGUGGUGGUAGAUGACUGUGUUUCCCAAAUCUUUCUUGGUUGUCUGAUGAAAUACUCGGAAGCAAAAUUAGAAGCUCAUUAUCACUAAUAAUAUUGCUUG
rnacentral:lncRNA from 1 species